rnacentral:ncRNA from 2 species
CUAAACGUGAUGAUCAGGAGAGUAAAGUCAGGGUAAUCUUAAGCGAGCCGCUGGAUGGUGUGAAGCGGUGGUGAGCCUGGCUGGAAAGUAGCCUGAGAACUGCUAAUGCGACGAGCUGGAGUGUUAGCUGGGUGCCCCCAUUAACGGGCCAACGUAUCGUCAGUUAACAUUACUGUUUGGGGAAACCCGUCAUCGGUGUUGGUAAUUGGCCGUACGCGCAAAGGUGACGAGCUGCGGUUCGUGACGAAUUAAGGUGGUACCACGCGUUAGCGUCCUUACA